rnacentral:rRNA from 1 species
UACGUAGGGUGCGAGCGUUGCCCGGAUUUAUUGGGCGUAAAGAGCUCGUAGGUGGUUUGUCGCGUUGUUCGUGAAAACUCACAACUCAAUUGUGGGCGUGCGGGCGAUACGGGCAGACUGGAGUACUGCAGGGGAGACUGGAAUUCCUGGUGUAGCGGUGGAAUGCGCAGAUAUCAGGAGGAACACCGGUGGCGAAGGCGGGUCUCUGGGCAGUAACUGACGCUGAGGAGCGAAAGCGUGGGGAGCGAACAGG